GUGAUCCUUUUCUUGGGGUUGCAUUACUGUCCAAUGAACGCAUAGUGAGGGCAGUACUGCUAACACCUAAACAACAUGUUUGCAUCAGUUAAAGCUUCAGUUUUAGCUUGGUGCAAUUUUUGAAAAA
ensembl:snRNA